CGAGGGGUAACAGGGAGUGCUUGCACUCUGCUGACGACCGGCGCACGGGUGCGUAACGCGUAUGCAAUCUACCUCUUACUGAGGGAUAGCCCAUGGAAACGUGGAUUAACACCUCAUAGUAUUAUGAAUUGGCAUCAAUUUAUGAUUAAAGGUUACGGUAAGAGAUGAGCAUGCGUCCUAUUAGCUAGAUGGUAAGGUAACGGCUUACCAUGGCAACGAUAGGUAGGGGUCCUGAGAGGGAGAUCCCCCACACUGGUACUGAGACACGGACCAGACUCCUACGGGAGGCAGCAGUGAGGAAUAUUGGACAAUGGGCGAGAGCCUGAUCCAGCCAUGCCGCGUGCAGGAAGACUGCCCUAUGGGUUGUAAACUGCUUUUACAGAGGAAGAACCCUCCCCACGUGUGGGGAGUUGACGGUACUCUGCGAAUAAGGAUCGGCUAACUCCGUGCCAGCAGCCGCGGUAAUACGGAGGAUCCAAGCGUUAUCCGGAAUCAUUGGGUUUAAAGGGUCCGUAGGCGGGUUUAUAAGUCAGUGGUGAAAGUCUGCAGCUUAACUGUAGAACUGCCAUUGAUACUGUAGAUCUUGAAUCAUUAUGAAGUGGUUAGAAUGUGUAGUGUAGCGGUGAAAUGCAUAGAUAUUACACAGAAUACCGAUUGCGAAGGCAGAUCACUAAUAAUGUAUUGACGCUGAUGGACGAAAGCGUACGUAGCGAACAGGAUUAGAUACCCUGGUAGUCUACGCCGUAAACGAUGGUUACUAGCUGUCCGGCCUAAUUGAGGGCUGGGUGGUUAAGCGAAAG
rnacentral:rRNA from 1 species